rnacentral:lncRNA from 1 species
AGAUAGUGAGUCUUGUCUUGGUGGCAAGAAUAAAAUAAAGUGCCUGCUCUCUGGGGACAGGGUGAGUGCAUUAGCUUUUUAAGGCAAUCUGUGUAUUCUUAGGAACUUUUGUCUUUUAAUACUCUGAAAAAAACUAGAAUGAUUCUCUCAGUACAAAAUGAUUAGACUGUCCCAUGCUGGCUUGGUCAUUUUGGUUGAAUUAGCUGUCAAGAUAAGUUGUGGCAUACUUGCUUUAGCCAUGGUGAUUGGUGAGAUGUUGGUGGGCAGAAUGAUUUAAUUGACUAGACUAAUGUUAGCUUUGUAUGUAUAUAUUUAAUUUUUAUAAACUUUAAAGAUGUUUUAUAUUGUGCACCAGAAAUACGAAGAUCUGGGCUCCCAAAUGCUUGUUCUUUAGUAACUAAUAGUAAAGAAGUGGAUUAAUGAACAGAAAGAGAUAUUAACACUCUAACCAUAGUAUGAUUUUAUAUUCUAGAAUUAAAAGCAAAUUGCUGUGGGACAGUAGAGGAAAAAGACAUUCAUUUUGCUAUAAGUUACUAGAUAUAGGGUAAGGUUGUGGAUAACUACAAAGAUAUAUUUAAACUGAACCUUAAUAUUAUAUCAUCAUUUCUAAUGACCAGUGAUAUACAAAGCAAUGGCCUGGUGUCAAAGUUCAUGGCAUGCCUGAGAAAUGGGAGUAGUUCAGAGGCCUGGACCAUAGAUGGGAUUGAUGGAUGUGGGAAGAAAUGUCACUCACGAGGAGCAAUAAGCUGGAGAAUCCCUCAGGCACUAGUAAGAAAAUGGUGAUAGUCAUCGAAUAGCUACCGUUUUAGAAAGCUUAUUACAUACCAUGCCUAUGCUAAGUGCUUCACAGACAUUAUCGCAUUUAAUCUUCUCGGCAGCGGUGUAAUACUGUAUUCAUAUUUAUUCCAACAUUACAGAUAAGGAAAUUGGGGCUUAGAGAGGUUAAAAAAAGUUUUCUAAAGUCAUUUUACUAAUAAACAGAGGAACCAGAAUUCUGUCUAGGCUGAC